AACGUAGGAGACAAACGUUAUCCGGAGUUACUGGGCGUAAAGGGCGUGUAGGUGGUUUCGUAAGUCUGGCGUGAAAUUUUUCGGCUUAACCGGGAAAGGUCGUCGGAUACUGCGGGACUGGAGGACGGUAGAGGCGUGUGGAAUUCCGGGUGUAGUGGUGAAAUGCGUAGAGAUCCGGAGGAACACCAGUGGCGAAGGCGGUUACCUGGAGCUUGCUGACGCUGAUGCGCGAAAGCGUGGGGAGCGAUCCGG
rnacentral:rRNA from 1 species